GUAGGGAAUAUUGCACAAUGGGGGAAACCCUGAUGCAGCGACGCCGCGUGAGUGAUGAAGGCCUUCGGGUCGUAAAGCUCUGUCGUAUGGGACUAACAAAAUGAAGGUACCAUGCAAGAAAGGAUCGGCUAACUUCGUGCCAGCAGCCGCGGUAAGACGAGGGAUCCUAGCGUUGUUCGGAAUUAUUGGGCGUAAAGCGGGUGUAGGCGGGCCUGUCAGUCAGGUGUGAAAUCCCAGGGCUUAACCCUGGAAGUGCACUUGAUACUGCAGGUCUUGAGAGUGGUAGAGGCUAUUAGAAUUCUUGGUGUAGUGGUGAAAUACGUAGAUAUCAAGAGGAAUACCGGAGGCGAAGGCGGAUAGCUGGGCCAACACUGACGCUGAGACCCGAAAGCGUGGGGAUCAAACAGGAUUAGAUACCCGUGUAGUCC
rnacentral:rRNA from 1 species